rnacentral:rRNA from 1 species
GGCUCUUUGAAUUUAUUUUUAUAGAGAGUCAGGCCUGCCCAGUGAAUAAUAUUUAACGGCCGCGGUACUCUGACCGUGCAAAGGUAGCAUAAUCAUUUGCCUUAUAAUUGAAGGCUAGUAUGAAUGGUUUAACGAAAGCAAUACUGUCUCCUUUCUAUUUUUAAGAACUUAACUUUUAGGUGAAGAGGCCCAAAUUUAAUUGAAGGACAAGAAGACCCUGUCGAGCUUAAAAGAUACUAUAGAAGUUUAUAUAUUUUUAAAUAAAUUCCCUAUUAAGCUUUUUAGUUGGGGCGACUAAGGAACAAAAAAAGCUUCUUAUAAUAACUAAACACCUGAGUAUUGAUCCGGCAAUAACCGAUUAAGAAAAUUAGUUACCGCAGGGAUAACAGCAUAAUCUCUCUUAAGAGACCUAAUCGAAAGAGGGGGUUGUGACCUCGAUGUUGGACUAGAAUAUCCUAAAGAUGCAGAAGUCUUUAAAGGUCAGUCUGUUCGACUGUUAAAAUUCU